AUUGAACGCUAGCGGGAUGCUUUACACAUGCCAGUCGAACGGCAGCGCGGACUUCGGUCUGGCGGCGAGUGGCGAACGGGUGAGUAAUGUAUCGGAACGUGCCCAGUAGCGGGGGAUAACUACGCGAAAGCGUAGCUAAUACCGCAUACGCCCUGCGGGGGAAAGCAGGGGAUCGUAAGACCUUGCACUAUUGGAGCGGCCGAUAUCGGAUUAGCUAGUUGGUGAGGUAACGGCUCACCAAGGCGACGAUCCGUAGCUGGUUUGAGAGGACGACCAGCCACACUGGGACUGAGACACGGCCCAGACUCCUACGGGAGGCAGCAGUGGGGAAUUUUGGACAAUGGGGGCAACCCUGAUCCAGCCAUCCCGCGUGUGCGAUGAAGGCCUUCGGGUUGUAAAGCACUUUUGGCAGGAAAGAAACGUCGCGGGCUAAUACCCCGUGGAACUGACGGUACCUGCAGAAUAAGCACCGGCUAACUACGUG
rnacentral:rRNA from 1 species